AAGUCGUAACAAGGUUUCCGUAGGUGAACCUGCGGAAGGAUCAUUAAUGAAAUGAUAAUUUUUUGGGGUUUUCCCUAAAAAAUAAUUCACCUUUUGUGCAUUGUUAUUAGAUAUACUUUGGUUAGAGCUUUGAUUCAUUUAUUGGGAUCAACUUCUCGCUGACUCUAUCCUUUCUGAGGACAGUUAGCUAUGAAGCGGCCUACCAAGGUUUUUUUAUCAAACUCUUAUAUCUUGUCUGACCUAAAUAUCAAUAAUUAAAUCAUAACUUUCAACAACGGAUCUCUUGGCUCUC
rnacentral:misc_RNA from 1 species